CGGGAAAAGCUCAAAUUUAAAAUCUGGUAGUCUUUGGCUGCCCGAGUUGUAAUCUGGAGAAGCGUCUUCCGCGCUGGACCGUGUACAAGUCUCCUGGAACGGAGCGUCAUAGAGGGUGAGAAUCCCGUCUUUGACACGGACUACCAGUGCUCUGUGAUGCGCUCUCAAA
rnacentral:rRNA from 1 species